rnacentral:lncRNA from 1 species
UUAGUUGUAGGUACAGCUGGAGGCGCGUGGCAGAGGCUCGGUGACUGCUGGCAUCCAUGCGCGGAAGAAUCUGGUUUCUUCAUGCGGCGGCUGAGGCUCUGGAACCCUUAGGGUUUCUAAAAAUGAAAACAAUCUGGGCUGGUUUUGGUUAUUGGGCUGGGGUGUAUUGUAAUUCGGGUUAGGUUUAGUGGGUUUUGUAUUGUAUUGGGUUUGGGCUAAAGAAAUUUUGAUUUAUC